AAUAGAUACCCAGGUAGUCCACGCCGUAAACGAUGGAUACUAGCUGUUCGGAGCAAUCUGAGUGGCUAAGCGAAAGUGAUAAGUAUCCCACCUGGGGAGUACGUUCGCAAGAAUGAAACUCAAAGGAAUUGACGGGGGCCCGCACAAGCGGUGGAGCAUGUGGUUUAAUUCGAUGAUACGCGAGGAACCUUACCAAGGCUUAAAUGUAGAUUGACCGGUUUGGAAACAGAUCUUUCGCAAGACAAUUUACAAGGUGCUGCAUGGUUGUCGUCAGCUCGUGCCGUGAGGUGUCAGGUUAAGUCCUAUAACGAGCGCAACCCCUGUCGUUAGUUGCCAGCGAGUGAUGUCGGGAACUCUAACGAGACUGCCAGUGUAAACUGUGAGGAAGGUGGGGAUGACGUCAAAUCAUCACGGCCCUUACGCCUUGGGCUACACACGUGCUACAAUGGCCGGUACAGAGAGCAGCCACUGGGCGACCAGGAGCGAAUCUAUAAAACCGGUCACAGUUCGGAUCGGAGUCUGCAACG
rnacentral:rRNA from 1 species